rnacentral:lncRNA from 1 species
AGAAACAUCUGAGGAGAAAUAGCCCAUGCACAUCUACGUUCUUUAAACAUUACCUCAUACACACUGUGAGGAGGGUCCCACAGUUACACUGACUAAACUGAGAUGGGAUUAUUGAAACUUGCAGAAAAAGGGGUAUGGUGCAAACGUUCAAUGUAUUGUGCUGAGAGGAGUAACACAUACAGAUGGGCGUCGAUCUCGUCUUUGUUAUGUCGUAAACAUCAUUGUCAAGUUGUGGCUGCUUGAAAGGAACAUAUACAUGGGGGCGCCUUGUUGUGGUUGCAGGCCAUGUUGAUCUUCAACUUUCAUCAUAUUUAUAAACCUUCCUUGAUCAACUGUGUAUGAUAAUUCAAAACCAUAGCUAUGACAUGAGAUAAAAGAAAAAAAUUGUCUACAGUUCAAAACUCAUAGUAGAACUAAUUGUACCAUGUCACCUACCUUUUUCUUGUCUAUCUUCAUGGUCUUUCCCUGC